AUCCUUUUGUAGUUUAUGAGCAUGAUGACUGGGUGUUCAUAGGCAUGUGUGAGAUAUGCCACCCUCAAACCUUGUUAUGAUGUUGGCACAUUGUCAGUCUGACA
ensembl:snoRNA